UACGUAGGGGGCUAGCGUUGUCCGGAAUCAUUGGGCGUAAAGAGCGUGUAGGCGGCCCGGUAAGUCCGCUGUGAAAGUCGGGGGCUCAACCCUCGAAUGCCGGUGGAUACUGUCGGGCUAGAGUGCGGAAGAGGCGAGUGGAAUUCCUGGUGUAGCGGUGAAAUGCGCAGAUAUCGUAAGGAAGACCAGUGGCGAAGGCGGGUCUCUGGACAGUUCCUGACCGCUGA
rnacentral:rRNA from 1 species